GCCGCUGCCUGUGGAGAAAGAGAAAGCGAGUGAGCACCCAAGGAACGAACUGUGUGAACCAGUACUUACUGUGAGCUGCAAUCAGCGAAGAGGUGAGAGCAAAACCAAGCUGAACUAACUGUGCUUUUGUGUCCCAGCCGUUGCCUGUGGAGGAAGAGAAAGAGAGUGAGCACCUCGAGAACGAACUGUGUGAACCAGUACUUACCGUGAGCUGUAUUCAGCGAAGAGGAGGAAGAAGGAGGGCGCUACGGAUACCUAAGACUCAGGCCGGGGCCCGAGUCCCACGCCCCGGAUCCCCGUGGCCCCCUUGCUCCCUGACCUCUUCCCGGCCAUAGCCCAUCUGGAGGGCCGAGUCAGAGUUU
ensembl:lncRNA